CUCGCUGUAGCUCAGCGGAUAGAGCACGCCAAUGACUAAGGCGUAGACGCGGGUUCGAAUCCCGCCAGCGAGACCA
rnacentral:tRNA from 1 species